rnacentral:rRNA from 1 species
AACGAACGCUGGCGGCAUGCCUAACACAUGCAAGUCGAACGAGACCUCCGGGUCUAUGGGCGCACGGGUGCGUAACGCGUGGGAACCUGCCCUUAGGUUCGGAAUAACUCCCCGAAAGGGGUGCUAAUACCGGAUAAUGUCUUCGGACCAAAGAUUUAUCGCCUUUGGAUGGGCCCGCGUUGGAUUAGCUAGUUGGUAGGGUAAAAGCAUACCAAGGCGAGGAUCCAUAGCUGGUCUGGGAGGAUGAUCAGCCACACUGGGACUGAGACACGGCCCAGACUCCUACGGGAGGCAGCAGUGGGGAAUAUUGGACAAUGGGCGAAAGCCUGAUCCAGCAAUGCCGGGUGAGUGAUGAAGGCCUUAGGGUUGUAAAGCUCUUUUACCCGGGAUGAUAAUGACAGUACCGGGAGAAUAAGCUCCGGCUAACUACGUG